rnacentral:rRNA from 1 species
AUUGAACGCUGGCGGCAGGCCUAACACAUGCAAGUCGAGCGGAUGAAGGGAGCUUGCUCCUGGAUUCAGCGGCGGACGGGUGAGAAAUGCCUAGGAAUCUGCCUGGUAGGGGGGGAUAACGUCCGGAAACGGGCGCUAAUACCGCAUACGACCUGAGGGAGAAAGAGGGGGAGCGUCGGAACUCACGCGAGCAGAGGAGUCUAGGUCGGGUUAGCUAGUUGGUGGGGUAAUGGGCUACCAAGGCGACGAUCCGUAACUGGACUGAGAGGAUGGUCAGUCACCCUGGAACUGAGACACGGUCCAGACUCCUGCGGGAGGCAGCAGUGGGGAAUAUUGGACAAUGGGUGGAAGCCUGAUCCAGCCAUGCCGCGUGUGUGAAGAAGGUCUUCGGAUUGUAAAGCACUUUAAGUUGGGAGGAAGGGCAGUAAGUUAAUACCUUGCUGUUUUGACGUUACCAACAGAAUAAGCACCGGCUAACUUCGUG